rnacentral:rRNA from 1 species
AUUGAACGCUGGCGGCAUGCCUAACACAUGCAAGUCGAGCGAGCGGCGGACGGGUGAGUAAUGUCUGGGAAACUGCCUGAUGGAGGGGGAUAACUACUGGAAACGGUAGCUAAUACCGCAUACCAUCAGAUGUGCCCAGAUGGGAUUAGCUAGUAGGUGGGGUAACGGCUCACCUAGGCGACGAUACAUAGCUGAUCUGACAGGAUGACCAGCCACACUGGAACUGAGACACGGUCCAGACUCCUACGGGGGGCAGCAGUGGGGAAUAUUGCACAAUGGGCGAAAGCCUGAUGCAGCCAUGCCGCGUGUGUGAAGAAGGCCUUCGGGUUGUAAAGCUCUGUCAGCAGGGAGGCGGUACCCAAAGAAGAAGCACCGGCUAACUCCGUGCCAGCAGCCGCGGUAAUUC